UAAUUGAAGCCAAAAA
rnacentral:tRNA from 2 species